rnacentral:rRNA from 1 species
CAAGGAAUUUUCCCCAAUGGCCGCAAGGCUGAGGGAGCAACGCCGCGUGGGGGAUGACGGCCUUCGGGUUGUAAACCCCUUUUGCUGGGGAAGAUAAUGACGGUACCCAGCGAAUAAGCCCCGGCUAACUCCGUGCCAGCAGCCGCGGUAAGACGGAGGGGGCAAGCGUUGUCCGGACUCACUGGGCGUAAAGCGCACGUAGGUGGUUGUUUGCGUCGGUGCUGAAAGCGCGCGGCUUAACCGAGCGAGGCGUGCCGAUACGAGACAACUGGAGGCAGGCAGAGGGUGGCGGAAUUCCGGGUGUAGUGGUGAAAUGCGUAGAGAUCCGGAGGAACGCCUGUGGCGCAAGCGGCCACCUGGGCCUGACCUGACACUGAGGUGCGAAAGCGUGGGGAGCGAACCGG